rfam:Glossina fuscipes fuscipes unplaced genomic scaffold Scaffold900, whole genome shotgun sequence.
UAUGAAAAUAAAUAAUAUACCUGUAUAUGCUAGAAAUAUGGUCUAGCGUUUCUACGUCUUACCAUGGGAAAAAGACUCUAUAGGUUAAUGGUUUUGCUUU